AACAUUAACGAUGCUCUUUGUCUUCCUCACAUUGGAGAGAGUAAAUUACCGUGACUUUUUGAUCAAGUAAAAUUGUUUAGAAUAAAAAUACAUUUUCUAAAGAUGCUGCAAGAGUUUAAAAGAGAGAUUGCAGAUGAUAAAAUAUUAAUUUUUAAAAUUUGGAUACUUGGAAUCAAACGCG